CCCUUAGAUGUUCUGGGCUGCACGCGCGCUACACUGAAGCGUUCAACGAGUAUUCACCUUGCCCGGGAGGGUUGGGUAAUCUUUUGAAAACGCUUCGUGAUGGGGAUAGAUUAUUGCAAUUAUUAAUCUUCAACGAGGAAUUCCUAGUAAGCGCGAGUCAUCAGCUCGUGCUGAUUACGUCCCUGCCCUUUGUACACACCGCCCGUCGCUCCUACCGAUUGAAUGGUCCGGUGAAAAUUUCGGACAGUGACGAUGCUGGCGGUCCGCCGCCGGCGCUGUCGCUGGAAGAUCUUUAAACCUUAUCAUUUAGAGGAAGGAGAAGUCGUAACA
rnacentral:rRNA from 1 species